UUGGGGUGUUGCCCACCGGGCCUUACGGACUCUCCUGAGUGAUCUGAGUCACCUCCAAAGAGCUAGCACGUGCCCAGCUUCCUUUCAAGUCUCUGGCCAAUGCAAUGUGAGCAGAAGUGAAGGGGCAACUUUCAGGUGAUGACUUGGAAAAGAAAGCUUAGUCCUCUGCUUCUCCUGUCACCCGAAAGAGAAACAGAGGCUUGUCUUGUUGAAGCCAGUGUGUUUGGUGUCUUUUUGUAUAGUGGCUUAGACAGUGGCCUAACUAGAAGACCAAGGCUCAAAGGAACACAUUUUGAGCUUCUCCACAGUUUGAGAACCUCUACAUUACCUACACCAAGCCUUCCCCAGCACUCAAUUUAUGGAAGACCAUUUCUCUUCUCAUGACACAUGUCCUCAUGUUGCUUUGGCCUGUUUUAAAGCUUUCUCAACUCCAUCUCAAUAAAGAAAUCUGCAGCUUUGUUGG
rnacentral:lncRNA from 10 species